rnacentral:lncRNA from 1 species
GGGAACUAUUUCUGUCAGGAGCUUUUUAACUGUUACUUUAGCUGUCUCCCUCUUAGUGGGGUAUGCUUCUACCCAUCCUGAAAACAUAUCUACAAAAACUAGCAGGUAUUUGUACCCAUACAUGCCAGGCUUCAUCUCAGUAAAGUCCAAUUCCCAAUGUUCUCCUGGAGUUAGUCCUCUGUGUCAGACCCCAGGGGGCCCGGUUACCUGAUUAGCAUUUACCUUGAGGCAGGUGGGGCAUCGUCUCACCAUGUCCUGGGCCUUUUGGGCUAAUCCCUGGCUGACAAAAUGGGGUUGUAAGGCAGCCAUCAUCCUUUUCUCACCGAGGUGGGUAGACUCAUGUAGUUCUCGCAGUAAUGUGUCUGCUACAGCAGCUGGGAGCACCACAUUUCCCUCCUUAGUCGUCCACCACCCAUAUCUUCCUUGAGUCCAGCAUCUCCUGUUCAUUUCCAUUAUCUCCUUGUCUGUAUAUUCAGGUUUUUCUGGGAGUACCCAUGUGGGAAGCAGAACCAUUUGUUUCCCCACUGGUUUUUGGGCAGCUUGUUUUGCC